AUUGAACGCUGGCGGCAUGCCUUACACAUGCAAGUCGAACGGCAGCACGGGUGCUUGCACCUGGUGGCGAGUGGCGAACGGGUGAGUAUAUAUCGGAACGUACCUUAUUGUGGGGGAUAACGCAGCGAAAGCUGUGCUAAUACCGCAUAAUCCCUAAGGGGGAAAGCGGGGGACCGUAAGGCCUCGCGCAAUUAGAGCGGCCGAUGCCUGAUUAGCUAGUUGGUGAGGUAAAGGCUCACCAAGGCAACGAUCGGUAGCUGGUCUGAGAGGACGAUCAGCCACACUGGGACUGAGACACGGCCCAGACUCCUACGGGAGGCAGCAGUGGGGAAUUUUGGACAAUGGGGGCAACCCUGAUCCAGCAAUGCCGCGUGAGUGAAGAAGGCCUUCGGGUUGUAAAGCUCUUUUGUCAGGGAAGAAACAGCAGCUCUAACACAGUAUGCGAAUGACGGUACCUGAAGAAUAAGCACCGGCUAACUACGUGCCAGCCGCCGCGGUAA
rnacentral:rRNA from 1 species